CAUGCCGGUCGAAGAUACCAGGCCGCUGCGACUGUUUAUUAAAAACACAGCACUCUGCAAACACGAAAGUGGACGUAUAGGGUGUGACGCCUGCCCGGUGCCGGAAGGUUAAUUGAUGGGGUUAGCGCAAGCGAAGCUCUUGAUCGAAGCCCCGGUAAACGGCGGCCGUAACUAUAACGGUCCUAAGGUAGCGAAAUUCCUUGUCGGGUAAGUUCCGACCUGCACGAAUGGCGUAACGAUGGCGGCGCUGUCUCCACCCGAGACUCAGUGAAAUUGAAAUCGCUGUGAAGAUGCAGUGUAUCCGCGGCUAGACGGAAAGACCCCGUGAACCUUUACUAUAGCUUUGCACUGGACUUUGAAUUUGCUUGUGUAGGAUAGGUGGGAGGCUUUGAAGUGGGGACGCCAGUUCUCAUGGAGCCAUCCUUGAAAUACCACCCUGGCAACUUUGAGGUUCUAACUCAGGUCCGUUAUCCGGAUCGAGGACAGUGUAUGGUGGGUAGUUUGACUGGGGCGGUCUCCUCCCAAAGAGUAACGGAGGAGUACGAAGGUGCGCUCAGACCGGUCGGAAAUCGGUCGUAGAGUAUAAAGGCAAAAGCGCGCUUGACUGCGAGACAAACACGUCGAGCAGGUACGAAAGUAGGUCUUAGUGAUCCGGUGGUUCUGUAUGGAAGGGCCAUCGCUCAACGGAUAAAAGGUACUCCGGGGAUAACAGGCUGAUACCGCCCAAGAGUUCAUAUCGACGGCGGUGUUUGGCACCUCGAUGUCGGCUCAUCACAUCCUGGGGCUGAAGCCGGUCCCAAGGGUAUGGCUGUUCGCCAUUUAAAGUGGUACGCGAGCUGGGUUUAGAACGUCGUGAGACAGUUCGGUCCCUAUCUGCCGUGGACGUUUGAGAUUUGAGAGGGGCUGCUCCUAGUACGAGAGGACCGGAGUGGACGAACCUCUGGUGUUCCGGUUGUCACGCCAGUGGCAUUGCCGGGUAGCUAUGUUCGGAAGAGAUAACCGCUGAAAGCAUCUAAGCGGGAAACUUGCCUCAAGAUGAGAUCUCACUGGGAUCUUGAAUCCCCUAAAGGGCCGUCGAAGACUACGACGUUGAUAGGUUGGGUGUGUAAGCGCUGUGAGGCGUUGAGCUAACCAAUACUAAUUGCCCGUGAGGCUUGACCAU
rnacentral:rRNA from 2 species